ensembl:lncRNA novel transcript
ACUGACUUCCUUCGCACUCAGCCCACUCGCACCCGGGUGAAUAAACAGCCUUUGUUGCUCACACUUAGCCUGUUCAAGUUGUCUCUUCAAUUAGAUGCUCGCAUAACAUUUGGUGCCGAAAGCCCGGGAUAGGGGAACUCCUCCGGCAGACCUCUCCUCUAUCCUCCCGGUACCCACGUUCUCCCAUGCAAGAGACUUCCCUCGCCCUCAGGACCUCAGACCAGCUCCGCGAGCACUCCGGCCUCUGUCUAUGGAUAUGGUGUUCAAUAAUAGGGAAGAGACUGCCCGGCGACAGCGCAUUUCAGAACUACAGAUGCUUGCCUCCGCCAUAAGACAAACCCCAGCUGCACUGCCUACCUGCAAGAACUUCAAGGCAUCUAAACGCAACAUCCAACAGCCCCUCUGGGACUUUGCUUCAAGCGAUGAAAACCUGGCCACUGGGCCAAGGAAUGCCUGCAGCCUGGGAUUCCUCCUAAGCCAUGCCCCGCCUGUGCGGGCCCUCACUGGAAGUCUGACUGCCCGACUCUCAUCGCCACUUCCGGAGCUCCUGGAGCUCAAACCCAAAGCUCCCCACCGACUCCUUCCCAGAUCUCCUCGGCUUGGCGGCUGAAGACUGACGCUGCCCGAACGUCUCGGAGGCCCCUUAGACAAUCGCGGAUGCCGAGCUUCGGCAUAAAAAGACAGGAAUGUAAGGUCCUCUGAGCAGGCGGCGCCAUGGUCAAGCCAUCGUGACCCCUGUGACUCACACGUACACAUCCAGAAGGUCUCCUGGAGCCAGAAAGUCUGGGACGACAGGAAAACCACAAAAGAAGAAAAACGGCUAGUUCCUGUCUUAGCUGAUCAGCCAACCUUGUGACAUUCUAUCAUUGUAACAGGCUGUACCCUAACUGAUCAAUCAACCUCAUGACACUGUGCUCUGUAACCUUAUGAUAAUGUACCUUAUGACAUUCUUCCCCUGCCCUCAAUAAACAGCUCCGAACUAUAA